ensembl:lncRNA
UCCUCCUCUUUUUUUUUUUUUUUUUCAUUGUGAAAAAGUCUUUAUUUUAAGAAAAAAAUUUAGUUAACAAAAAAUUUAACAAGUUUCACUUAGCAAAAUACACCCAAAAGGAAAUCACAGUACAAAGAAAGCUUUAAGUCAAGGCCUCACCAAUUCCUACAGUAUUAGUAUUGUGUCUCAAUUCUCAAAACUAACUUUUAAAAAGCUUAAACUUAACCUAAAGAUUUUAAAUGAAAAUAUAAACUAAAAUGAACAUGAGAAAUGCUUCUCUUUGCAUCAGGGAUCUAGCACCUUGAGUUCUCCAGAAAAGUACAUGCCCCCAGUGUGUUCACUGUGGUGUGCUGAAAGAUCCACUCAACAUACUUAAACUGCUCAACUCAGAUAACACCACUCUUAAGUAUACUACCAAAAAUGUUAAUUGAGAAAAGCGGAAGAAAAUAGUUUUUAGUUUACUCAAUAUUACAUUCUAGAAGAAAAGUUUGCAUGAGAAACACUGAAGAGGUAAUUUUUUAAUCCAGAUUUCACAAACUCAUGGUGCAAAGUGGGUCCCCCAGCUUCCUCUAGAGUUAUAAACUGCUCUUGACUGUUUAUUGGCUGCCUGUGAAAUUUUCUGAUUGAAAUAACCCAAAUGUUCCUACAAUACUAAUCAUAUCCACCCAUGCUGUUCUGACCGCCGUAGCCGGCCCCGUAACAGCCACUCACUGACUGGCUCUCCAGGCCACUGUAAGUUGCCUGGGCAGCUGACACACCCAUGCCCUGCAUCACCUGGCUGCUAUAAGCCCCAUUGCUAGCUCCUGUAUCUGUGCUGCAUGUUGGCCCUGUCCUUGGACAUAGCUGCCACUGCUUCUUCAUGAGUAGCAAACUCAACAUCAGCUUCUCCGGUCACUCUUCCAUCAGGACCAAUCUCAAUAUGAACUCUCACAGGGUUGAGUGGAGAGAAGAAGUUGUAAAUGUCGUUCUCCGUUGCUUUGUAGGGCAGCCCUCUCAUGUGGACACAGUGGCCGGUGGUGCUCUGCACUGUGAACUCGCUGUCUCCGUAUCUGUGAUCAUACAUUCCUGAGAGACAAUAGCUGAGGUCUCUCCCAAACAGGUCAGUGGUGAAGCCAUAGCCAUCACUGAGGCCACUGUAUUCUUCAUAGCCCCCAUAGCCUGCACUAUAGGCACCAGACCUCAUCCUAUCCAGGCCUGCCUGUUUCACAAUGCCAAUGUACCUCCGGGCUGUGCCAGGCCUGUCAUAAGGCCCAGGCCUCUGCACAGACAUAAACUUCAGAGGUGGAUCUGAGUAUGACCUAACUUCCUCCUGACUGCUCUUGAAC